GGGCCGUUAGCUCAGUCGGUAGAGCAUCUGACUUUUAAUCAGGUGGUCGCUGGUUCGAAUCCAGCACGGCCCA
rnacentral:tRNA from 1 species